GCCAGUGUGGCUCAGUGGAUAGAGCAUCAGCCUGCAGGCUGAAGGGUCCUGGGUUUGAUUCUGGUCAAAGGCA
rnacentral:tRNA from 1 species